CCUACGGGUGGCAGCAGUGAGGAAUAUUGGUCAAUGGCCGCAGGGCUGAACCAGCCAAGUCGCGUGAGGGAUGACGGUCCUAUGGAUUGUAAACCUCUUUUGUCAGGGAGCAAAGGGCGCCACGCGUGGCGUUUUGUGAGUACCUUAAGAAAAAGCAUCGGCUAACUCCGUGCCAGCAGCCGCGGUAAUACGGAGGAUGCGAGCGUUAUCCGGAUUUAUUGGGUUUAAAGGGUGCGCAGGCGGAAUGUCAAGUCAGCGGUAAAAUUUCGGGGCUCAACCCCGUCGUGCCGUUGAAACUGGCGGUCUUGAGUGAGGGAGAAGUAGGCGGAAUGCGUGGUGUAGCGGUGAAAUGCAUAGAUAGCACGCAGAACUCCGAUUGCGAAGGCAGCAUACCGGAGCUCAACUGACGCUCAUGCACGAAAGCGUGGGUAUCGAACAGGAUUAGAUACCCUGGUAGUC
rnacentral:rRNA from 1 species